rnacentral:piRNA from 1 species
UAGAGAGUUUGGACUUUAAU